GUUAAAAAUACGCUUCUGCAGUCAGAAUGCACAGAAGGGCAGCAGGUUUGAACCCUACUGGAUCGCAGUCUUUUACCAAAGGUAUGACAAUAAUUAGUCUAUAGUUCCUUACAAUUUCGCCAAAAAGCAGGGAAAUGGGUUAAAGACUGAUAAGAUAUUGAUAUUGACAUUUUAAACAAAAAAGGGAAAUUGUAAUAAUAAUGGACUUUUUUGGUUUAGUUUUUUUGGUUUGGUUUAUACACAAGAUACAUUAAAUGUUUUGAAUUCACAGUUUAUUUAUUAAACAGUAAGAUCUUUGUAACAGGAAAAUUAGAUGGCUUUCAAAGCUGUGAGGCAUGUGAAAUGCAAGAUUUUAUCAGAAAUAAGGUAAUAUCUGCCUUAUUCCAGCAUGCAUAGAGAAGGAAAAAAAUGGAUUUGAAGCCACAAAUUAAAAUGCUUCUUAAACAGGCUUGGGUGUUGGUUCUAUAAUUAACAUUUUUCAGAAUGAAAAUGGAUUAUGAAAGUCAAGUAUCUACCCUUCUUCUGAUGAUUAUGCUGAUCAAAAGAUUGACGGCACCUGGUCUUAUCACCUGUGCCCAAUCCGGACAGCCUAUAAAGGACUGGAGUUCCGCCCUCUGCCCAUCGCGCCCGUCCACGAUCGUUGCAAGGUCUGUGGGGACCCACGUCACUUCCAGUGAGAAGCGACAACGGUGGCAUUCCUCCAGCGAGGAGGUGGGCAGGCUCCAGCCCGAAUGGCCAGAGUACUGCCCAUGGGAGCUGACCGUGCCCUGGGUCCGGGAUGUCUGCAGGGUGGGUGACCCUCGGAGUCACUGGUGGGAGGACACAGAUGACGAAAGCGACGAUGACGAGGAUGACACUGUUUGGGCGGUCGGUGCCGGGAUGGCUCCACACAUCGUGGCCGUCCAGGAUCGUCGCAAAGUCCGUGGAGACCCACAUCACUCCCAGAGGUGCGACAAAAGCAAGGAGGAAGACUGCGAUGCGGGGGUAAGCUGGUGGAAGAGGGCAACAGGGGGUCGCCAGCCAGCAAAUGCACUGCUGGAACUGCCUCACGGGGAAGAUGCCUUCCCAGCUCCAGUCGCCGACCUGCCUUCCCUCUGCCCGGACGUUCCCCAGAUGAAUGGCAGCGCAGCACCACCGCCCCCGUCUGCUGGAGAAGACAUUCACCACCCUCCACACCACAUCUCCAGCUACGUGCCCAGCCCCGUUUGGGACAUCCCAAUGGUCCCGGGACCCUUCAGUGGGGCAGCAGACAUGGAUGAGAUCACCACCAUCCUCGCGUGUCUGACUGGUCAGCAUGGGGCUGGGGCUGGGCGACAGAGCUGGAUCCUCCAGUAGCCGGUACGGAGGGUGCCUCCAGACGGGUGGAGCGCCAUAGAGCCCCCCUGGUAGGCAUGAGGACCCAGCUGGGACAAGUGUAGCACCCUCUCAGGUGCACUGAUAUUAUUUGUAUUAUUUUUGUUAUUAUCUGUACAGCAAGUGUAUUUUUGUUUCAUUAUAUGUUCAUUUAAUAUGUUUAUAUCUUGUUUAAACUGUGUAAUGGUAUGCAGAGUUUAUUUUGUGCUGUCCUAUCAUAGAGGGGGAUGGAGAGCAUGUGACAGGAAGAGUUGGGAGAGAAGAGACAGGAGACAGCGUUUUUUCUUAGUUUUAAUUUAUUUAGUGAAGUUACACGCUUUUGGUUAAAAUAGCAAAUGCAUUCACAUGCAUUUAUGUUGUACUAGUUUGGGAGUUAAAUAUUUUUCAUGCAUAAGGGUGCAUAGUGCAUGGCGGAGGUUCGCUGACUUCUAGAAAAAUAGCAAUUGCUAUAAAGGGUAGAAGUGCACAGACUUCGGUGGGAACUCUGCACGCGGCGGAGACCGGGAGACCAGCGCGACGCGGGACGGCCCGGUGCUGUGGAGGCGUUGGACCACGCGAGGAGCGUUAAUUUUACAUUAGGAGCUGCACCGACGAAAGUUUUAUUCUGCAGACGGCAGAAGUGCAGCGGAUCGUUGGUACAAUACUGGAAGACGUAGUGAGUAGACUCAGCACACCAGUUUGAGCUCCACCAAGCGCGCCAACGAUAUUACAAGGUACCUAGACGGUGAACAUUUAAAACCCGGGUAUUUUAUUUUAUUUGUGUUAUUGUUUAAAUGUUUAUGUGGUGUGGGUUUUCCCCUGUAUAAUUGUUGGGGAGGGAAAUAAAUGUUCAGUUGUAAUAUAUAGUUCUAUUGUA
rnacentral:lncRNA from 1 species